rnacentral:rRNA from 1 species
CGCCUGGGGAGUACGGCCGCAAGGUUAAAACUCAAAUGAAUUGACGGGGGCCCGCACAAGCGGUGGAGCAUGUGGUUUAAUUCGAUGCAACGCGAAGAACCUUACCUGGUCUUGACAUCCACGGAAGGUCUCAGAGAUGAGACUGUGCCUUCGGGAGCCGUGAGACAGGUGCUGCAUGGCUGUCGUCAGCUCGUGUUGUGAAAUGUUGGGUUAAGUCCCGCAACGAGCGCAACCCUUAUCCUUUGUUGCCAGCGGUCCGGCCGGGAACUCAAAGGAGACUGCCAGUGAUAAACUGGAGGAAGGUGGGGAUGACGUCAAGUCAUCAUGGCCCUUACGACCAGGGCUACACACGUGCUACAAUGGCGCAUACAAAGAGAAGCGACCUCGCGAGAGCAAGCGGACCUCAUAAAGUGCGUCGUAGUCCGGAUUGGAGUCUGCAACUCGACUCCAUGAAGUCGGAAUCGCUAGUAAUCGUGGAUCAGAAUGCCACGGUGAAUACGUUCCCGGGCCUUGUACACACCGCCCGUCACACCAUGGGAGUGGGUUGCAAAAGAAGUAGGUAGCUUAACCUUCGGGAGGGCGCUUACCACUUUGUGAUUCAUGACUGGGGUGAAGUCGUAACAAGGUAACCGUAGGGGAACCUGCGGUUG